GCGAAGGCAAGCGGAUCUCUUAAAGACUGUUCUCAGUUCGGACUGCAGUCUGCAACUCGACUGCACGAAGCUGGAAUCGCUAGUAAUCGCGGAUCAGCACGCCGCGGUGAAUACGUUCCCGGGCCUUGUACACACCGCCCGUCACACCAUGAGAGUCUGUAACACCCAAAGCCGGUGGGAUAACCUUUAUAGGAGUCAGCCGUCUAAGGUAGGACAGAUGAUUAGGGUGAAGUCGUAACAAGGUAGC
rnacentral:rRNA from 1 species